GUUUUGUGUGAGUGACAUUUUAAGGUAAAGAUUUUGUGAAAAAUUUUGUCUUUUAUCAUGAGUUCGCAACGAAAUGUUUAGAAGAAGAAAAGGAUUAUGAUUUUACAUCAUCGGAGGACAUCGACGACAUCAAAGUCAAAGAUUUUUUGGUAAUUAAUUGACUUAUGAAAAAAAUUCAUGGAGAAUACGAUCAAAAAAAUAAACCAAACUAGACUAAAGAAGCGGCCAAAAUACUCAAUCAUCAUCAAAAGAAAAAAAGAGAGAGGAUAUGUGUACGUGAACGAACAAGAAAUGUCUUUAUGUCAACUCUGUUCCUAUUCUCUUCCGUAUUUUCCGUCUGGGUUUUUGAAGAGAAUAUGGGUUAUAAGCCCCUGAUAAUUGAAAAUGAUAAAUGAAAUAUACUCAUUAUUAUCAUGUAUUUCAAUUGCUUAUAACAGAA